UACGGAGGGUGCGAGCGUUGUCCGGAAUCAUUGGGCGUAAAGGGCGCGUAGGUGGCCCGGUCAGUCAGUGGUGAAAGCGCGGGGCUCAACUCCGCGUCGGCCAUUGAUACUGCGGGGGCUGGAGCACUGUAGAGGCAGGCGGAAUUCCGGGUGUAGCGGUGGAAUGCGUAGAGAUCCGGAAGAACACCGGUGGCGAAGGCGGUCUGCUGGGCGGUGAACCCGCAAGGGUUCAAUAGCCGACACUGAGGCGCGACAGCGUGGGGAGCAAACAGG
rnacentral:rRNA from 1 species